UACAGAGGGUGCGAGCGUUAAUCGGAAUUACUGGGCGUAAAGCGCACGUAGGCGGCUUGGUAUGUCGGGUGUGAAAUCCCCGGGCUCAACCUGGGAACUGCAUCCGAAACUGCCUUGCUCGAGUAUGGGAGAGGGAAGUGGAAUUUCCGGUGUAGCGGUGAAAUGCGUAGAUAUCGGAAGGAACAUCAGUGGCGAAGGCGACUUCCUGGACCGGUACUGACGCUGAUGCGCGAAAGCGUGGGGAGCAAACGGG
rnacentral:rRNA from 1 species